rnacentral:lncRNA from 1 species
UCCCUAACAACACACAACAUUCCAGGAAUGUACUACCAAAGUUCUAUCAAUAUUUGAAUGUCCUGGACAUUUAGGGAACAUUCGGUGAACAUCUGUUUAAAUUAUUCCUGGAAUGUUACCAUAAGACAUUCUGUGAACAUACUACCAAUGUUCCUAUAUUUUAAGUUGCGAAAUAAUACAUACGUGUAAGAGAUACAACAUUACUUAUAACAUACCAGACAAACUAAGUGACAUUUUAGGCCUACAGUGCAAUAAUAUGUCAAAUUUAAAGAGUUUCCCAAGAUUAUAAACAUACAAAUGUAAUAAAAAUUAUUGUUCGCGAAUAUUCAAUUUGGAAUGCGAUUUUGUUAAUAAAAAAAUACUUAUAACUUAUGCAAAACCCAAGAGAGGCAUUUAUAUUUAUUUCUUUUGCGUUCAUUUUCAAAUUCGCCGUGCAUAUAUUUUUGUGCAUGGCGCUUGAGAGGGCAUCACGUGACUAAAAACGACCAACCAACGACCUCGCUUCGGCCAUCUUGGCAUCUUCAUCUUGGCGACCUUGCCUUGCCGUGGAUUGUUUUUAGUUGUUUGUAUUAUUUGUGCUUUUUAAGAAUAUUUUUUUAAUUCGGAUACUUUUAUAAUAGCUUUAAUAGUAUUAUUAACAUAGUGCAUAAAAUGGUGUCCUAUUUUUAACGCAGUUGGAGUAGCAGAAACAAAUGUAGAUAAAAAAAUCUGCAGGAAUAACGUUUCAAUUAUGACAGAAGCUCAAAACAAAUGACUGUGAAUGAAAAGCCCUAUUAAAAGCUUUCCAGAAGAUCCUGCGAAGAAGACAUGAAGUAUAGAUCAGAUUUGUUAAUAGAGGAGUAUGUUCAAAACACUUUUUAGAAAAAGAUAUUGACAGAACUUCACUUUCAUCUGUUCGUUUGAGAGACUGUGCUGUUCCAAUAGCUUAUGUCACACAGAAUCAGCUGAGAGAAGUGGUCUACAAAAAACCAGAAAGGAAACGGAAUAUGUGGCUACGAAAAGCAAAAGAAAGGUUUACAAAGCAAAUGUGACACAUUUUUUAUAAUAUUUAGGAAUGUCAGCAAAUUACAUUAAAAAAUGUAUGUAAAGAUUUUUUGCAAUAAAAAUGUUUAUAUUUA